GAUGAACGCUGGCGGCGUGCUUAACACAUGCAAGUCGAACGGUGAAGCAGAGCUUGCUCUGUGGAUCAGUGGCGAACGGGUGAGUAACACGUGAGCAACCUGCCCUGGACUCUGGGAUAAGCGCUGGAAACGGCGUCUAAUACUGGAUACGAGACGUGGCCGCAUGGUCAACGUUUGGAAAGAUUUUUUGGUUCAGGAUGGGCUCGCGGCCUAUCAGCUUGUUGGUGAGGUAAUGGCUCACCAAGGCGUCGACGGGUAGCCGGCCUGAGAGGGUGACCGGCCACACUGGGACUGAGACACGGCCCAGACUCCUACGGGAGGCAGCAGUGGGGAAUAUUGCACAAUGGGCGAAAGCCUGAUGCAGCAACGCCGCGUGAGGGAUGACGGCCUUCGGGUUGUAAACCCCUUUUAGCAAGGAAGAAGCGAAAGUGAUGGUACUUGCAGAAAAAGCGCCGGCUAACUACGUGCCAGCAGCCGCAGUAAUAC
rnacentral:rRNA from 1 species